rnacentral:rRNA from 1 species
UACGGAGGAUGCGAGCGUUAUCCGGAUUUAUUGGGUCUAAAGGGUGCGUAGGCGGAAGGCUAAGUCAGCGGUGAAACGCAGGUGCUCAACACCUGACCUACCGUUGAAACUGGUUUUCUAGAAUGCGGAUGCUGUGGGAGGAAUGUGUGGUGUAGCGGUGAAGUGCAUAGAUAUCACACAGAACACCGAUUGCGAAGGCAUCUCACAAAUCCGCGAUUGACGCUGAGGCACGAAGGUGCGGGGAUCGAAC